UACGUAGGGUGCAAGCGUUAAUCGGAAUUACUGGGCGUAAAGCGUGCGCAGGCGGUGAUGUAAGACAGUUGUGAAAUCCCCGGGCUCAACCUGGGAACUGCAUCUGUGACUGCAUCGCUGGAGUGCGGCAGAGGGGGAUGGAAUUCCGCGUGUAGCAGUGAAAUGCGUAGAUAUCAGGAGGAACAUCGAUGGCGAAGGCAGCCCCUUGGACCUGUACUGACGCUCAUGCACGAAAGCGUGGGGAGCAAACAGG
rnacentral:rRNA from 1 species